rnacentral:rRNA from 1 species
AGCCGAACGGUAACGACACUAGCUUGCUAGUGGGCGACGAGUGGCGGACGGGUGAGUAACGCGUAGGAAUCUACCUAGUAGUGGGGGAUAGCCAAGGGAAACUUUGGGUAAUACCGCAUACGAUCUACGGAUGAAAGGGGGCCUCUCUUUGAAGCUCUCGCUAUCAGAUGAGCCUGCGUAAGAUUAGCUUGUUGGUGAGGUAAUGGCUCACCAAGGCUACGAUCUUUAGCUGGUCUGAGAGGAUGAUCAGUCACACUGGAACUGAGACACGGUCCAGACUCCUACGGGAGGCAGCAGUCGGGAACAUUGGACAAUGGGGGCAACCCUGAUCCAGCCAUGCCGCGUGUGUGAAGGAGGCCCUAGGGUUGUAAAGCACUUUUAGUAGUGAGGAAGGCUCGGUAGCUAAUACCUGCCGGGAUUGACGUUAGCUACAGAAAAAGCACCGGCUAAUUUCGUGCCAGCAGCCGCGGUAAUACGAAAGGUGCAAGCGUUAAUCGGAAUUACUGGGCGUAAAGCGCGC